CGGAACGUAGCGCAGUUUGGUAGCGCGCUUGGUUCGGGACCAAGAGGCCGCAGGUUCAAAUCCUGUCGUUCCGACCA
rnacentral:tRNA from 1 species